CGUUUGUCCAUUUAGAAACACGUAAAGCAUAGAAAUUGAGUACAUAGAGUGGGGUUGUAAUACAUAUUGGGUUGACAUAAAAUCAAAUGAUUUUUAAGAGACAUUUUGUUGUGGCGGUGAAGCCAAAUGUCAAAACAAAUCCGAGCGAUUUCAUAAAAAUAUUGUCUCGUUUGUCGCGAGGAGAACUCGCGAGACUUCUCCCAAGUCUCCUUGCAGCGCUGCAGCCAGCGCGAACCUGCAGAAGAGCAGAGGCGGAGCAAAGGCAUGGACCUCGUCUCUAAACCAGGAGGCAAAUCCAUCGUGUGGGUGUCCUUCGGUUUUAAAGCUGAUGAGAACGGACAGCCUUUGAACCCUGGACAAGCCGUUUGUCGUCUGUGUCGAAAAACCAUAUUGUCAAAAGGUGGAAGCACCACGAAUUUGAGAAAUCACCUGAAAGUUCGGCAUCGCGUAGAUUUACUUGAAGCUUCUUCGUCCACGACCCCCGAAUCCUUGUAUGAGACUCAAGCUUUCUGUUUGAAUCAUGAAGAAUUCUUGGACAAAGUUCCGCUUCUCCAGGAUUCUUCCAAUCAGAAUUACAUCCCAGAUGCGGCGCAGCCACCAGGGGAUCCGUGGCUGCAAGGUGGACCAUCCCGAGCUGUCCUGUCACUGCCUUUGUGCCUGCGCCUGUGUGGAAACAUCGACUCUGGAAUGUCCGAACCAUCCAGUGGAGAGUCAAUGGGGGAGAUGAAACUAUACGCCAAUUGUCACCUCCAGCAAGGCGUCACUUUUGGACCCUUUGUAGGAGAACUGUGCAGGGGACAGAUGCCAACCAAUCUCAAAUAUUCCUGGGCUGUAAGUAGACCACUUUGUGUAAACUCAGGUUUUUUUUUUACAAGUAAUCAGUAUGAACUGCAAAAUAUUAAUAUUGAACUGAUAGAAGAGCAGAUCAAAAUAUCGCUGACACACUUCUAUCUCUAGAUUAGAGAAGAUGCUGCUUUCAUCUAUGUUGAUGCUUCUGAUGAAAAUAAAUCCACCUGGAUGAGGUGGGUAGUUCA
rnacentral:lncRNA from 1 species